GCUGGGGGUACUCGAGUGGCGAACGGGUGAGUAACACGUGGGUGAUCUGCCCUGCACUUCGGGAUAAGCUUGGGAAACUGGGUCUAAUACCGGAUAUGAACGGUCUUUGGUGUGAUUGUUGGAAAGAUUUUUUCGGUGUGGGAUGAGCUCGCGGCCUAUCAGCUUGUUGGUGGGGUAAUGGCCUACCAAGGCGUCGACGGGUAGCCGGCCUGAGAGGGUGUACGGCCACAUUGGGACUGAGAUACGGCCCAGACUCCUACGGGAGGCAGCAGUGGGGAAUAUUGCACAAUGGGCGCAAGCCUGAUGCAGCGACGCCGCGUGGGGAUAAGCUUCGUUGUAACUCCUUUCGUAGGGACGAGCCUUUUUAAGGUACGGUACCUGGAUAAGAAGCCCGGCUAACUAGUGCCACCCGCGGUAAUACGUAGGGUGCAAGCGUUGUCGGAAUUACUGGCGUAAAAGCUCUAGUGGUUGUGGUCUCUGUGAAAUUCCGGGGCUUAACUCGGCGUGCAGGGCGAUACGGGCAUAACUUGAGUGCUGUAGGGGAGACUGGAAUUCCUGGUGUAGCGGUGAAAUGCGCAGAUAUCAGGAGGAACACCGAUGGCGAAGGCAGGUCUCUGGGCAGUAACUGACGCUGAGGAGCGAAAGCAUGGGUAGCGAACAGGAUUAGAUACCCUGGUAGUCCAUGCCGUAAACGGUGGGCGCUAGGUGUAGGGGGCUUCCACGUCUUCUGUGCCGUAGCUAACGCAUUAAGCGCCCCGCCUGGGGAGUACGGCCGCAAGGCUAAAACUCAAAGGAAUUGACGGGGGCCCGCACAAGCGGCGGAGCAUGUGGAUUAAUUCGAUGCAACGCGAAGAACCUUACCUGGGCUUGACAUAUGCAGGAUUGGGUCAGAGAUGGCUUGUCCCUUGUGGUCUGUAUACAGGUGGUGCAUGGUUGUCGUCAGCUCGUGUCGUGAGAUGUUGGGUUAAGUCCCGCAACGAGCGCAACCCUUGUCUUAUGUUGCCAGCACGUUAUGGUGGGGACUCAUGAGAGACUGCCGGGGUUAACUCGGAGGAAGGUGGGGAUGACGUCAAAUCAUCAUGCCCCUUAUGUCCAGGGCUUCACACAUGCUACAAUGGUCGGUACAAUGCGUUGCGAUACUGUGAGGUGGAGCGAAUCGUGUAAAGCCGGCCUUAGUUCGGAUUGGGGUCUGCAACUCGACCCCAUGAAGUCGGAGUCGCUAGUAAUCGCAGAUCAGCAAUGCUGCGGUGAAUACGUUCCCGGGCCUUGUACACACCGCCCGUCACGUCAUGAAAGUUGGUAACACCCGAAGCCA
rnacentral:rRNA from 1 species